rnacentral:rRNA from 1 species
CCCCUUUGGGGGGGACAGGGUGACAGGUGGUGCAUGGUUGUCGUCAGCUCGUGUCGUGAGAUGUUGGGUUAAGUCCCGCAACGAGCGCAACCCUUGCCUCUAGUUGCCAGCAUUCAGGUGGGCACUCUAGAGGGACUGCCGGCUAAAAGUCGGAGGAAGGUGGGGAUGACGUCAAAUCAUCAUGCCCCUUAUGACCUGGGCUACACACGUGCUACAAUGGGCGGUACAAAGGGCUGCGAACCCGCGAGGGGGAGCGAAUCCCAAAAAGCCGCUCUCAGUUCGGAUUGCAGGCUGCAACUCGCCUGCAUGAAGCCGGAAUCGCUAGUAAUCGCGGAUCAGCAUGCCGCGGUGAAUACGUUCCCGGGCCUUGUACACACCGCCCGUCACACCACGAGAGCUUGCAACACCCGAAGUCGGUGAGGUAACCCGCAAGGGAGCCAG